rnacentral:lncRNA from 1 species
ACAGCCGCCCUCGGAAAGUGCAAAAGCAACCACGAGACAGAUCCAGGCUUUGUUGCUAAUUUCCCAGGGUGAAAAUUGACAAGCCUGGGAGUGCAGUCAGCACAACCCAUUGCAUAUGCUACUGACAAACGCUGGGGACAUCCCCUCCCACCCAUGCCUAUCACACAGAGAAUGUGACCUCUGCAGGACUGGACUCUGGAAGGACCCUACCUCCAGGACUCGCCCACAAGAAGAACUGCAAAAGAGCUCCAAAGGAGAAGGAAAAAAAAAAUCAUCAGAAAAACCCCCGUGCAGAUGAAGAGGCUUGAUGCUUAAUGCGCACAGAUGUGAUCGCCAGUGGUCGCCGACAAUGAAAUAUACAAGUGCACACAAAGUGAUCCGGUGAACAAGAGGUGGAAUUUAAUCAUCUUCUGCUGACACUUUGUGAAAAACACCAUUAACCCUCAGCACACCCCCUGUUUUCCUGGCUCUCUGUAACCCUAAAGUCUCAGCCCCUCCUGCCAAGGAGAAAAAGUGAAAGAAGAAUUUGUGGUUUUGUUUACUCAGCCAAGCUAAAGGUUGGAUCCAGCCAGAUGAAAACUUUAAGGAACAAUGAAGGAGAGAGGUGCCGCUCUGAACCGGGACUAAGGUGCAGAACUGGAGUGAGCUGUUCUCCAACUCCUGAAUUUGAACCCUGGACUGAAUAAAAGCUUUAAGACCACAAGACAAACACAAAGUUUAUAGCCAACUCGUUUUUCAAGUGUAGUGUCUCUGCUACAGUCCUUGCUACUCUCUCCUUGGGAAGGUGCCUUCCAAGGUUCACCGUGGCUCCUCUCCCUAUUCAGGAGAGCCUGGACUCUUCUUCAAUUUUCUGGUGUGGAAGACAUAUGUGGUAUCAAUUAUUCCAGGACCCAGAUCACUUCUUUCCUUUUAAAAUGAGACCAAGCAUCCUAAGAAAGUGUGAUGGUGUUUGGUUUUUGGAGGGUUUUAAAAUUGGGCACUUUGAAGCUAGCAGGCAGCAUUGGCUCUACACACUGUUUUAAGUAGCUUUUCCAUGCUCAUGCUUGGGAGCUACUCCCCCACUAACUCCCCAAACUGCUUCCACAUUCUCCCGCUCCUGCCCUCUGCGUGCUUCACCAAUGUGCACAUAGCUGUUCUUGGGCAUAGAUGGCGCAUGCUAGGGGGAUUGUUUGAAAGGGUAAUUAAUAGCCAUAAGAUCCUGUCCUCAUCUGAUAUAUUUUAUAACUUAUUUUUAUCAAAAAUGAAUUUCAAAUAUUCUGUUGCCAUCUCAGACAUACCAGCAUACAGCCUAAAAAUAGGUACAGUCACCAGAGCUGUGGUGACGGAUCAAACAAAUCUAUCUGCCAUCAAACUCAUGUUCUUGACUUGGGAAUCUCUCUGUGAAACACAGGGCAUUUCUGAGGAAAGCAAAGCCUGGUGACUGAAUGAAACCUUAGAUUUAUCCCCCUAAGGACAGAAUAGUUUUACAAUCAUGCUUUAAUUUUCCUUUGUAUUUUAUACCUUUGAGAUUUCGUGGACAAAUGUAAGGAGCAGCAAGGCUGUUGACAGGCCUGGGGAUGACGAAGGAAGGACUAAGCGUUUUCUUCAUUCAAACAAGGCAGAAAGUGAAACCACGUAGUCUAAUGGUCAGUGUCUCAAUAAGAUGAGAAUAAACAGAAAGAGGUUUCGUGUCUUAUUUAUAUUUUAUCAGAGGUUAUUGCUGUAGAACCGUGAAGCACAAUAAAUAGCAUUCUGUUAGCAGCCAUUUGAAAGAAAAUGUUCAUCACUUUCAAAUAAAAUUACUUCCCUC